GCAUCCGUAGCUCAGCUGGAUAGAGUAUCGCCCUCCGAAGGCGGUGGUCGUGGGUUCGAAUCCCGCCGGAUGCG
rnacentral:tRNA from 1 species